CUCCCAAGCUUCUCCAGUAAACCUCGUGUGGCAUGACGGCCUGAAACAGUGUGAAUACGUCAGCGACGAUGCUAGUUGCAACAACCCUCCCCCUUUCUCUUGUGUGGGACGCCCGAGUGGUAACUAUGCCUACCCAGGUGACUGUAGCAAAUUCUACACGUGUUCCAACGAACACAAAUGGGCCAUGGAUUGUCCAGCCACGACCCACUUUGAUGUUUCGCUCAAGGUAUGCAACCACGUCGUGGACGCGAGUUGCGUCAUUUAGCAUGUAACUCGGGUCGUGCUAAUACCUCGACAAACGUUUCACCAACAUGUAUUCAUUGUACCUUGAAUAUUAAAUAAACUUAUCUCUAAUUUUA